rnacentral:rRNA from 1 species
AGCAGCCGCGGUAAUUCCGGCUCCAAUAGCGUAUAUUAAAGUUGUUGCAGUUAAAAAGCUCGUAGUUGAAUUUCGGGGUCAGCAGGUUGGUCGUGCCACUGGUAUGCACUGGCCUCGCUGAUUCCUCCCUCUUGUAGAACCGUAAUGCCAUUAAGUUGGUGUUGCGGGGAAACAGGACUGUUACUUUGAAAAAUUAGAGUGUUUAAAGCAGGCUAACGCUUGAAUACAUUAGCAUGGAAUAAUGAAAUAGGACGAUCGAUCCUAUUUUGUUGGUUUCUAGGGUUGACGUAAUGAUUAAUAGGGAUAGUUGGGGGCAUUAGUAUUCAAUUGUCAGAGGUGAAAUUCUUGGAUUUAUUGAAGACUAACUACUGCGAAAGCAUUUGCCAAGGAUGUUUUCAUUAAUCAAGAACGAAAGUUAGGGGAUCGAAGACGAUCAGAUACCGUCGUAGUCUUAACCAUAAACUAUGCCGACUAGGGAUCGGAUGAUGUUAAUUUUUAAUGUACUCAUUCGGCGCCUUAC